GUGGUGGGAAAAAAAUGAAUCAAAACUUUCAACAACGGAUCUCUUGGUUCUGGCAUCGAUGAAGAACGCAGCGAAAUGCGAUAAGUAAUGUGAAUUGCAGAAUUCAGUGAAUCAUCGAAUCUUUGAACGCACAUUGCGCCCGUCAGUAUUCUGGCGGG
rnacentral:rRNA from 1 species